rnacentral:lncRNA from 1 species
AGAUAGGCUCUCACUUUGUCACCCAGGCUUGAUCUUGAUCUCGGCUCACUGCAGCCUUGGCCUCCUGGGCUCAAGCAAUCCACCUGCAUCAGCCCCACAAGUAGCUGGGACUACAGGUGCACGCCACCACGCCUAACUAAUUCUUUGUAGUUUUUGUAGAGAUGAGGUUUUGCUGUGUUGGCCAGGCUUGUCUUAAAUUCCUGAGCUUAGGUGAUCUACCUGCCUUGACUUCUCAAAGCACUGGGAUUAUAGGCGUAAGCUACCGUGGAUGGCCUCUUCUAUCAUAUUUUUAUUUUAUUUUAUUUUAUUGUUUGGGUUUUUUUCUUUUUUCUUUUUUCAAGAGAAGGUCCCACUCUGUCACCUAGACCGGAGUACAGUGGUGUGAUCAUAGCUCACUGCAGCCUCAGACUCCUGGGCUCAGGUUAUCUUCCUGCCUUAGCCUCCUGAGUAGCUAGGACUACAGGUGCAUGCCAUCCCAUCUGGCUAUUUUUUAUUUUUAGUAGAGAUGAGGUCUUGCUGUGUUGCCCAGGCUGGUCUUGAACUCCUGGCUUCGAGUGAUCAAGCGAUCCUUCUGCCUCAGCCUCCCAAAGCGCUGACAUUACAGAUGUGAACUUUAGCGCCUGGCCUAUGUAUUUUUGUAUGUGUUCUUCCUGCAUAGUCUGUUUCCUCUAAGCUGCUUUUUUUGUUGUUGUUUUUUUGCUUUCGCUUUAACUCCUGUGUAACAUGUUACAUGUUUUUCUUGGAUUUUUGGUGAUCCUCUGCGGUCUCUGUUGAUUUUUAAGUGUAUCAUACCAAAAAGUUGAUUGGGAACUUUGUAUGUUGGAUGGGGCUUUUUGUCUAUGGUUUCCAUUGUAAAGCAAUCUAUCUGCACCAUUUUGGAAGAACUCCCAAUGGCAGUGUCUUUAGAUCUUUGCUCUUUAUGAGAUCAAAAUCUAGAGGACUUCCAGUUUCCUGCCUGGUGGCCAACAUUCUAGGAGGUGGGUAGGCUUGGGGAUCUAGGCAUUCAGUCUGUAAACUUCAGCUUAGUCCCCCUGUUUUCAAUAUUAUGCCUUUGCCCUCAACUAUGAUCUGGAAUCUCCCUGUCCAGAGACCCUCUCUUUAGCUCUCUUCAAGGAUAAACCUCUAAAUUUUGUCUAAAUAAGAAGAUAUGAUAUUUUAACUGCUCCACUUGUUUUUAGGCCUGCUUUGAUCUCCUUUUCUAGAGGUGCUGGGCACUGCCAGUUCCUGAGUCCUCUGCAUUCUGUUUCUGGACUGUAAGUGAGGUUGCAUCUGAUUCUUCAUUGCUAGCACCCCAGUCAUCUUGCUUAGGUUAGCUAAGUCAGUUAUUAUUUGUCCAUUUGCUUUUUCAAAAACUGGUUUGUUGAGAUAUAAUUGACAUAAUAAAUUGCCCAUAUGUCCAGUGUGUAAUUUGACAUUUAUAUACACCCGGGAAACCAUCACCAGUCAAGAUAAUGAACAUAUUCCUCAUCCCCAGAAGUUUCCUCAGCCUCUUUAUAAUCUUUCCCUCCUGGCCUUCCCUAUUUGUCCCUAGGCAACCACUAAAUCUGCUGUCACUAUGGGUUAGUUUGCAUUUUCUAGAAAUCUAUAUAAGUGGAAUUAUACAGUUUGUAUCCUUUUUAGUCUGGCUUUUGCUCAGCAUAAUUAUUUUGAGCAUCCUCCAUAUUUUUUCUUGUGUCAGUAGUUCAUUGCCUUUUGUUGCUGAGUAGUAUCCCAUUGUAUGGAUAUACCACAAUUUGUUUUGUUUCCAGUUUUUGGCUAUUACAAAUAAAUCUGCUACAAACAUUUGUAUAGAUGUUUUUAUAUGGACAUAGACUUUCAUUUCUCUUGGGUAGCUAAGAAUAGAAUGGCUGAGUCGCAUGGUAAAUGCAUGUUUAACUUCGGAAACUGCCAAGCUAUUUUCCAAAGUGGUUAUACCAUUUUGCAGUCCCACCAGCAGUGUAUGAGAUUUCUAGUUGCUCCACUUCCUCAGAACAUUUGGUAUGUUCUUAAUUUUAAACAUUCUAAUAAUUGUAUAGGUAGGUUACAGAACUGAGUUGCUAUCCUGUCUCUCAUUCUUUGCCUUUCUUUUGUGGGUUUACUCCUUUUAAAAGUUACUUUUUAAAAAAGUUACCUUAAUCAGUGGAAUAGAAUAGAGAGUUCUGAAACAAAUUCAUACAAAUAAUGGGCAGUUGACUUUUAAAGGUGCAAAGUCAAGUCAGUCAAGUCAGUGGAGAAUGGAUAGUUUCUUUCUUUCUUUUUUCUUUUUUUUUUUUUUUUUAAGAGACAGUGUCUUCCUCUUUUGUGGAGGCUGAAAUGCAGUGACGAUCAUGGCUCACUGCAGCACUGAGCUCCUGGCUCAUGCAGUCUUCCCACCCUAACCUCCUGAGUAGCUGGGACUGCAGGUGUAUGCCAUCAUGGCCUGCUAAAUUUUCUUUAUUUUUCUUAGAGAUGAGGUCUUGUUACGUUUCCCAGGCUGGUCUCGAACUCCUGCCCUCCUGCCUCGGCCUCCCAAAGUGCUGAGAUUACAGGCAUGAGCCACCAUUCCCGGCCUGGAUAGUCUUUUCAACAAAUGGUGCUGGGACAAUUGUGCACUCAUUUGCAAAAAAAAAACUUCAACCUGUACCUCAUACUUGAUAUAAAAAUUAACACAAGACAGUCAAUUUAUAUUAACUUAAAUAUAAAUCAUAAAGUGUUUUGAAAAACAUAUGGGAGAAAACUCUAUGUCAUUGGGUUAGGCAAAGAGUUUUUAAAUACAAUAUCAAAAACAGAAUCCAUAAAAGAACAAAUUGAUAAUUGGGCCAAAUCAGAAUUAAAAUCUUUUGCUCUGUGAAAGAUAUGUUAAAAUAAUGAAAAGAUAAGCUAUAGACCAAGAGGAAAUGUUUGCAGAUCACAUAAUUAACAAUCAGCUUGUGUCCAGAGUGUAUAAAGAACUCUCAAAACUCAACAAUAAAAAAUACCCAUUCAAAAAAAAAUGGGCAAAAGAUUGGACACUUUACCAAAGACAAUAUAUGAUAGCAAAUAAGCACAUGAAAAGAGAUUUAACUUAAUCAUUAAUGUUUAGCAAGAUGCAAAUUAAAACCACAAGGAGAUACCUCUACAUACCUAUUAGGCCAAACACAAAUACACACCUGACAACACCAAGUGCUGGGAAGAAUGUAGAGCAACUGGAGCUUUCAUACAUUGCUGAUGGGAAUGCAAAAUAGUACAGCCACUUUGGAAAAACAGUCUGGCAGUUUUUAAAUAAAGCUAAACAUAUAUUCAUCAUACGAGCCUGAUCCAGUAGUCUCUGUCUUAGAUAUCUGCCCUAGAAAAAUGAAGACAUACAUUCACACAAAGUCUUGUACAUGCACGUUCAUAGCAGCAUUAUUUAUAAUCACCAAAAACUGGAAACAGCCCAAAUGUCCAAAUGUGCAACAAAUUGUACAUUAGUCAGCAAUAAAAAGGAAUAAACUAUUGAUACAUGCAAAAACGUGGAUGAACCUCAAGGGUAUUAUACUAAGUGAAAUAUGCCAGCCUCAAAAGAUUUUAUACUUGGAAAUUCCAUUUAUAUGACAUUCUGGAAAAGGUAAAAUUAUUGGGACAGAUCAGUGGCUACCAUGGAUUAGGAAUGGGAGAAAGGUCCGAGUGCAAAGAGGCAGCCCAGCUUUCUUCUUUGUUUUCUAUGAGUUUCUAUUUUCCUCUCCACUAAUCUUGUUUCCUUGGAGUAUUUUCCACCUGUUUUCCACAGUGGCUCUCUGUUGAACCCUUCAGCCUGGCUUGAUUGUUGUGUACGUUUUGCUUGGAUUGAGGGAGGGGGUAUAUGUGUGCUUAUUCCCAGAUAACUCUGGGAAUAUUUCUUAUGGUAAUGGAUACAUGAUACAGUACUUCUAGGGAUAGAGGAAUGGGCCACAUCAACCUAUAGUGUCAUUUUUGCUUGAAAUAUAUAUCCUUGGUACUGAAACCUUACCCAGAAGAGAAUAAUAGAUUACACAGAGCUUCUAGAUUUUGAUGUGGGUUAGAACUGAAAAAUGAGAUGUCUUUAAACUCUUUUUCCUUCUCUCUUUGAUAAGUGAUAUAAUGUGGUUUGGACACUCAGAGAUUCCUGAGAUUCCAGGUUCUGGUUGAUGAUUUACUGCAAAAUUGCUUAUAAAUUGAAGUAGAAAAUGUUUUGCAGACCUGGCAGCUUUCUGGCUUCACACCCAUUUGUCACCCAGCAUUUCCCUUUGUGUAUAGAACAAGAAUUAAUUAGGCUGCACUGCAGGAAAAGUUUAUGGCUAUAAUUUAUAUAGGAUGAAUUUUUUUUUAAAGAGACAGCAUUGUUUUGUUACACCUAUAUACAUGUAAGUGUGUGUGUAUAGAAAGUGUUUUUUUCCCCCUCUUAAAGCAGUGUCUGUAAGCUUCUGGAGUAAACAUUUUUUUUUUUUUUUCCUAAUGCAAGAUGAUAGUGUAAUAGAUGCAUUUAUCAUGAUUGCUGUCUGAUGAAACUGUUGGGGUUUUUUGUUUGUUUCUUGUUUUUUAAUUCAUUGUUUACUAGUGAGAACACUCAGUUUUAGGUUUACAUUUUAGACAUUGGUCAGACUUGUCUGGUUUCCAGAGCUUUGUAUUCUUUCUGUCUCUUGGAAGACUCGGGAUUCUGUCUUUUUUAGGGUCUUGCUCAUUCAAUUAAUGUUUUCAUAAUCAAUGCAAGUCAGAACUUGCAAUUUGUUCCUGAUUUGCACAUUAAAGAGCUCCAUUAAUUAAGAAUCUUGGUGUUUGGCAUGUUCCCGCAGGAUCUGUGCAUUAUUUACAUGGUGAAAGUGCAAGAUGCAAGUUUCUCAGUUGUAAGGGCAAUUGCAGUUAAUCCUGCUUUUUCUUUUCUUCUUUCUUUCUUUUUUCCUUUCUUUUUGCUUGUGAGUAACAAUUAUUUCACAACUCAUUGAAACUCCUUAAGGAUACAUUGUACCAAAAUAGGAACAAAUUAUUCAAAAGAGGGGGCUAUGGUGAAAAAGUAGAAAGUAAAUCCUUUUUUUAAAGGAUUUUAAAGGAUUUAUCCUUUUUUUAAAGGACUGUGUACAACACAGUCACACAAUUGGUGAGAGGCAAAGCCAGUGUAGAAACUGAGGUCUGCUGUGCCUCACAAACGUUGCUCUUGGCCACACUGCCCACUCACUAUGCAUAUGGUUUAACUUAACUCUUUUCAUCUGAGGGUUUUCUCCCCUUUUCAAAGAGAGUAUGAAGAAACAUAGAUAUGGAAUAAAUGUCACAGCUUAAAGCAAUGAAGGCAGGAGAAAUAUGGAGAUGAAUUUGUUAUAGAACAGAAGGCUUAGAGCACAAGAAGUAGACAUGUCCUUCAGUUUUUCUAAAGAUGCUAUUUCCUGGAUACUGUUUCAUUCACUAAGAGUUAGACUUUCAGGGGGUCAGCUGAUCUAGUUCCUUCUCCUUUAGGCAGGUAAGACCAUUUUUUAGGUGAUAAAUAAUGUUUUUUUCUCAUGAUAAAUUAUAAAAAUACAAUAUGUAUUCCUUAUAUAAAAUUUAGAAAAUAGCCAAGCAGGCUGGGGACGGUGGCUUACGCCUAUAAUCCCAGACCUUUGGGAGGCCGAGGCAGGUGGAUCACUAGAGGUUAAGAGUUCAAGACCAGCCUGGCCAACGUGGUGAAACCCUGUCUCUACUAAAAAUACAGAAAUUAGCUGGGCGUGGUGGCAUACGCCUGUAAUCCCUGCCUCGGGAGGCUGAGGCAGAAGAAUCGCUUGAACCUGGGAGGUGGAGGUUGCAGUGAGCCAAAAUCGUGCCACUGCACUCCAGCCUGGGCGACAGAGCGAGAGUCCAUCUCAAAAAAAAAAAAAGGAAAAGACAGAAAAUAGCCAAGCAAAAUUAAGGAAAUAUUUCUUCCCUAAUCCUAGCAGCUAAGAGUUAAGUAUUUUUAAUAUUUUGGUACAUGGUAAAUAUCUUUUCUAGGUUUUUCUUCUCAGUGGCUAUGUACUUAGAACAAAAAUGGGACUCUAUUCUGUAAUUUGUUUUGCAGUCCAUUUCUUUCUACUUAACAGAAAUUAUGAAUAUUUUUCCUUGUCAUUAAAUAUUGUUCUAUAGCAUUAUUUUUAAUGAUAGCAUAGAGUUUCCAUUGUGUGGAUAGUUUAACCAGUUCUUUAUUGUUGGACAUUUGGAUUGUUUCCAGGUUUUCAUUUUUAUAAAUGAUGUAGUAAACAUCAUUAUUAGUAAAUCUUUACUCAUAUGCAUACUUACUUUGUUGCAUAAAUCUCUAAAUGUGGAAUUAGUAUAUUUUCUAAGAAUAUGCAAAAUUUUAAGGCUUUUUAUCUAUAUGGCCAAGUUGCCUUCCAGAAAAGUUGUAUUUGUACAUGCUCACCUUUUUAUAUGAGUGUCAGUUUUCCUUAUCCUUGUCAACAUCGGAUACAAUAAUUUUGUUUCAUCUUUGUCACUUUGACAAGUGGUAUCUGGGAAAUGGUAUCUGUUAUUUUAAUUUACAUUUCCCAAUGUUUAAUGAAGAUAAACAUUUUUGCUCCCUUACAUUUAUUGGUCCUUGCUAUUUCUUUUGUGAAUCAAACAGGGAAAAUUUUGAACUGGUUCUAGGGAUAGAUGAUCUUCUUGUCAGUCAACCUUAAUGCCACUCUAAUUCUCCUUUUUUUUGCUUUAAUCUGUUUCUUCUUGUUUGGUUUUCUGGAAUUAUAUCUACCUCAGAAGACCUCUUUGUAUUGUUGAAGUUUAAUCUUAAUUGCCUUAAAAAAUAAUAAAAGUAAAACUUGUUUGUUGUGAGAUGUUAUUUUCUUUCAGACAGUACUGAGUCUGUUUCUUCCUGCCCAACAAUACUUAGUGAAAUAUGUAACGUAGAUUGUGAAAGUAUUAUUUUUCCCACUCGUAAAAGUGUCCUCUAGAGAUAACCAUUUUAAAUAAUUUAUCUGACUUCCAGAUACUUUGUGUCAAUAUAAACUUUUUUCAAAACAUAAAUGAAAUUAUGCUUUACAUCUUCCCAUGUCAAUGCCUGCAGGUCUUUUUUUUCGUUAAAAUUAAUGUUUGUUAUAUUUGCUUUUUUUUCUUUUUGAAGCGUUUUAAAGUAAAUUACAAUCAUGCCAUUUGCCUCUAAAUAUUUCUGUUUAUAGCUCUAAAAAAUGAGGAUGUUUCUUAGUAACAUUGUCAUCUCACCUAACUAAAUUAAUAUUCCUAAUACUGUAUGCGUACUUCAUAUUCACUUUACUUCGUUUAUCCCAAAAAGUUUUUUAUAGUUUGGUUUACUUAAGCCAAGUUCCAUUUUAUACUAAUCCUUUUCAACAGCUGCACAAAAAGUUACCUGGCUAAACUAAAAUUAAGUAGUCCCCUAUAAAUGGACACUUAAGAUGUUUGCAGUUUCUACCUAUUAUAAACAAUGCUGCAAAUAACAUUUUUGUACCUACCUCUUUGCUUUAAAAGUAUUUCCUGAGGGUUAGUUUCUAGAAGAACAGUAGGUCAGGAGCUAGGCAUAUAUAAAACUUUGAUACGUUUUGCCAGAUUGCUUUCUGGCUAUGUCAUGCUAACUAAACUCAUCAGUUGUGUACGCAGAGUGCCCCUUUCGGCACGUUUUUGCCAGCAUCAAGCAUUAUCAGAAAAAUAUCCCACUGUUUUAAGUUUUUCUUUAAAAAAUUAUUUUUAUUAGUAAAGCUAAGCAUCUUCUCUGAUGUACAUGGGCUUUUGAAUUUUGGAGACUAUUAAUCCAUUUGUUAACAUUCUUCUUUCAAAUUCAGCAAGUAUUGCUUUAUCUUGCCUUACUGGACCUGCUUUCCAUCCAUGUGAUGUGGGCUUCCUUUAGUGUCUCCACUGUUUUUUCAAGUGUGGGAAUCAAGUUUGGACAUGACAUUUUAACAGAAUCUCACUUGUGUUUUUUAUCAUGUGAUGGUAUUGGGGAGGGAAGUUUUGUCAUUUUUUUAGUAAUUGAAAAUUUCAUUACACUCUGUUUCCCAGAUAGUUUUGAUACAUAACCCUCAAGGGUACAUUGAUCUAGAAAAUGAAAACUGUGCAAUUGUUUUUUAAGCUUAUAGUAGUGUUUCAAUUUCUGUAUCUGUAAAAUGGUGAUGCAAUAAUAGUAUCUACCUCAAAGGAUUGUUAGAGGACUUAAAUGAAUUAGUACAUAUAAAGUGCUUAGGCGAGUGUGUGGUACUUAGCAGGUCCUUACUGAGUAUUAACUAUUAAUCUGAAUAGUGAUGGUACAAUCUUUUAAGGAUAUAGCUCUUGGGCCACAGUAUUUGUUUUCCUCUUCUUGAAAGGAUUAGGUGAAUAAAGACAGUACUAUACAUACAGCUAGUUCUUUGAAGACUUGAAAUGCACAUGUAAAAAGUACAUACCAAGGAAGAUAUUAGGAUGUUAUUAUUUCUUUUUCAGUUAUUCAUUCAAUACCAUUUGCCAACACCAAACAUACCCAAGUGAGUAGUUUACAGUUUCUGCUCUCAAGGAGCUCAUAGUAAGGUGAAGCUGCUUUUAAAGCAUCAUUUAAGUGUUUUUACGUAAACACAACCUCUCAAAGUGUUUCAUUUUGAGUUGGAGAAUAAACAAACCUUAGUCUUACUAGUAUUAAAAGAAACACAAUUAAAACAAUCUUUUAUUUUCUGAGUCUCAGUGUUUCAAUUUAAGCGAUGGUAAUUACUAAAUUUUCAGGAGAAUGCAUUGUAAUGUGCCUAGCAAAAGUUGUUAAUUGUUUUUGUUUUUAAAUUUCUGUCUGGCAAAAUGGUUUUGAGACACUCUAAGAUAAUCGGGAGUAGCCCGAUUAUCUUAUAGUUGGUAUAUUAAAAUAAAGAAAAUGUUGUUUGACUACUUGCUUAACAAAAGGUCAGUUUGUUGAAGAUACAUAGUUGAUAUUAAAGUUAGGAAGUAUGUAGUCUACAUUUUGUUUGUCAGCAUUUAGAUUUGGAAGUGGUAGUGUGAUCAUAUUCUGCCAUGCGACUUAGGCAACAUCUCUCUAAAUGAAGAAAACAUUUGUAGCAUACCUUUUAUGGCCCAGGUGAUGUGUUGGAUGCUGGAUGACAGGCUGAAGCUGCCCUGAAGCAGCUUUAAGGUGGUGAAAUCAGACACAGCACAAAAUGGUUAAGUGUUGUAACGAUAUGAAGAAUCCUGAGAGAGGAGUGAUUAAUUCUGCAUGGAAUCCCUGUUUUAGAAAGGUAUUUUCUGAAUCUCCAUUUUCAUCAGUUUUUUCCAGACCCAUACUAUAGAGAGAAUUUGGGCAUUUGCUUAGAGACAGUUUCACCACAGCAGAGGCUGUUUUUUUUUUUAAAGACGUUAUAAUAUGAAAGAGUGAGACUUCUUAAAAAUCAGAGGGGUUACUUGGAUUGUGGUUCUAA